AAUUGGCUGUGAAAAUGUAGGGUGUUCAGCACCUGAUCAUCACCAGGAUUCAUAUCACCGGGGCACCCCAACAGCUGCCGCGGUCCAGCAGGUCCACACCUGCUAGCUGAGGAAGGCAACACCAGGAGAACGGCCCUGUAGGAACUUCAUUCUCCCCGCUAGGAAAGCUGGGCUCAAGGCCUCCAUGGAGGUGCGGCCAAGCCUUGGCCCCCGGAGCUUCCCCGAAUGCGGGUUUGCAGAGACUAAAUAAGGAGCCCACCCAGACUCGCACUAACCCCCAUCCCAUUAGUUCCGGCCUCGGGAAGAGGAAGGGAUCGGAUCUGCAUAACAGUGAAUCACAAGCACUUCGGCACAAUGACCCCUCCAGGAGAGGGUGGAGAAGCUCGUCUGGCAACUGCCUACACAAACCGGGCAAUUCUGAAGAGCAGCAAACAAACCUGUCUACCCCAGUUCCCAUUGUGCAUGAGAUUGCGCUCCACAAAAACAACGUCCAAGGAACACCUGUUGAUCGAUACCAAACGUUAACACUCAGAUUUGGGCCAAGAGACAAUUAAAAAGGUCACUAUGAAGGAACUUUGGGCAAGAUGGUUUUGUGAAAAUUGGAAUUAAGUGUCCUUAGACUCCAGCAGCUAGUGGGAGCACCACAUAGAUACUUCCAUCAGUCCAUCUCAGCGAGCUCUGUUUCAAAAGGAAGUUAACCCAAGGGAUUUGAACCCAUAAGCCAAAGGGCACUUAAGUCACUAGGUGACCGUCAGGACACAUGCUUUCUUUAUGCUAAUUAGAAGUUACACAGGUUCCAGGAGGGAGGAGGGUUUUUAGGAGCUAGGGAUGGUUAGGCCAGCGGGACCGUCCACCAACUGGCCUCAGACUGAACACUGACCACGGCUCUUUAAUUCAGGCAAGCAGCAAAACGAACUGCAAAUGGGUUAAAAUCCGGGAAGGGGCCAUCACGUUAGGCGGGAGAGUGAGUUCUUAAAGAGAAACAUGUCCUCCUGGUGGCCAAGGCCACUUUUGGAUUCCCCGGUUCGGGCACAGGUUCCGGAAAAACACAUCUCAGUGUACACGACGUACUGAACGAAAACCGUAGGCGAGAAAAUCACCAGUUACCCUUCUCCCCUCCACUGCCCCGAACUAGCCUUGACAGCCAUCAAACACAGGAAAAAGGUAUCCCCUACGGACAAACGGAUGAUUUCACCCACUUCUUUCUCAAACACCCAAAAGCCACAGCGACAGCACUAACAGCUUUUGUUUGGAUUCACAAAAAAGGAAG